AGUGAACGCUGGCGGUAGGCCUAACACAUGCAAGUCGAACGGCAGCACAGUAAGAGCUUGCUCUUACGGGUGGCGAGUGGCGGACGGGUGAGGAAUACAUCGGAAUCUACUUUUUCGUGGGGGAUAACGUAGGGAAACUUACGCUAAUACCGCAUACGACCUACGGGUGAAAGCAGGGGAUCUUCGGACCUUGCGCGAUUGAAUGAGCCGAUGUCGGAUUAGCUAGUUGGCGGGGUAAAGGCCCACCAAGGCGACGAUCCGUAGCUGGUCUGAGAGGAUGAACAGACGCACGGGAGGUAGGGAACAGCACAGACUGGGAGGGGGAGCAGCAGUGAGUGAUAUGGGACAAUGGGAGCAGGCAUGAUGCAGCCAUAAGGCGUGUGUGGAGAAGGCCUUCGGUUUGUAAAGCACUUGUGGAGGGAAAUAAAAGCGGAGUGUUAAUACCCCGCUGUUCGGAGGGGACAAAAAGAAGAAGAAGCGGAUAACGUCGUGCCAGCAGCGGCGGUAAUGGAUCGAAAGAGCACACGUCGGAA
rnacentral:rRNA from 1 species